UACCAGAACAUCUCAUUAACUUAUCCUUCUCCUAAACUUUACCUAUAACUUAUCAAUAUUAUGGGUGUUGAAAAAUAUAGAUAUUUAAUUUUCACCACUGCAUUUUUAAAAAAAAUUAUCUAGUUUGUGGAUAAAGGGAAUAUAUUCAUCUGCUUUUUGAGAAAUUCUGACAGUCGAUGACCCAAAUCGUGAUUUGCUUCAGCUAAGAAGAAACUUCUUGUGAUCAUGCUGUUGGAUGGUGGAAUCUCAUGAUUGUGGUACGUCAGCAAAAUGCACUUGAGUCUGGAGGACUAUGAUGAGUGGGAGAGAGCCAAUGUCAUAUAUUCUUCAACAGCACCUGAGGGUAAGUACGUUUCGUGCUCCCAUUGGCUUUGCAUCUUUAUUUUUUCUUCCUGAAAUUAACACAGAGACAAGACUUGUAUUUCUUCUCCUUAAUGAUUAAUAGUUAUAAUAUAUA